rnacentral:rRNA from 2 species
UACGGGAGGCAGCAGUAGGGAAUCUUCCGCAAUGGACGAAAGUCUGACGGAGCAAUGCCGCGUGAGUGAAGAAGGUUUUCGGAUCGUAAAACUCUGUUGUUAGAGAAGAACAAGGAUGAGAGUAACUGCUCAUCCCCUGACGGUAUCUAACCAGAAAGCCACGGCUAACUACGUGCCAGCAGCCGCGGUAAU